rnacentral:rRNA from 1 species
UACGAAGGGGGCGAGCGUUGUUCGGAUUUACUGGGCGUAAAGGGCGCGCAGGCGGCUUUGUUUGUCAGGCGUGAAAGCCCCGGGCUUAACCUGGGAACUGCGUUUGAUACGGCAGGGCUAGAGUUCGGGAGAGGAGAGUGGAAUUCCCAGUGUAGAGGUGAAAUUCGUAGAUAUUGGGAAGAACCCCGGUGGCGAAGGCGGCUCUCUGGACCGAUACUGACGCUGAGGCGCGAAAGCGUGGGGAGCAAACAGG